GGGUCCUUUUUUACUUUGAAAAAACACAUCAAUUUAUUUUGAUUAGAAUUUCCCAGAUGUUAAAUACAAGUCUUGAAAUUUAAGAAUUACGUUUGAUUUAUUGACAACUUGAACAUGAUAUAGAAAUAUUUCACCAUAAUUUUAAUGUGUGAAUUAUUAUAUGUCCGACACACAACGCCAUGAUGACAAUGCGUCACGUGGUUUGUCUCCAGGGGCAAGUUCAGUGGCCCUGUUUAUUUAUAGUAAUAUGUUGAUGAUAGUUGCAAUUAGUCCCAGACGAUGAUCGAUUGGAUAACAUUUUGUUUGUAGCAUUUAAGUUAUUUCUUUUUAUUUACAUCUUUAGAUGAUGCUGACUGAUUUGAAGAGUAAUGAAAACCUACUUUUGAAUGUUAAAAUAAUGUGUAUUCUGUUUAAUAAAAUUUGUAAUUGGAAACG
rnacentral:misc_RNA from 1 species